rnacentral:rRNA from 1 species
ACGGAAGGCAGCAGUGGGGAAUAUUGCACAAUGGGGGGAACCCUGAUGCAGCAACGCCGCGUGAGUGAAGAAGUAUUUCGGUAUGUAAAGCUCUAUCAGCAGGGAAGAUAAUGACGGUACCUGACUAAGAAGCUCCGGCUAAAUACGUGCCAGCAGCCGCGGUAAUACGUAUGGAGCAAGCGUUAUCCGGAUUUACUGGGUGUAAAGGGUGUGUAGGCGGUAAGGUGAGUCAGAAGUGGAAUGCCGGGGCUCAACUCCGGAGCUGCUUUUGAAACUGCAUUACUUGAGUCCAGGAGAGGCAGACGGAAUUCCUAGUGUAGCGGUGAAAUGCGUAGAUAUCAGGAAGAACACCAGUGGCGAAGGCGGCCUGCUGGACUGGUACUGACGCUGAGGCACGAAAGCGUGGGGAGCAAACAGGAUUAGAUACCCUGGUA